rnacentral:rRNA from 1 species
UACGUAGGGUCCGAGCGUUGUCCGGAAUUAUUGGGCGUAAAGGGCUCGUAGGCGGUUUGUCGCGUCGGGAGUGAAAACACCGGGCUAAACUCGGUGCUUGCUUUCGAUACGGGCAGACUGGAGGUAUGCAGGGGAGAACGGAAUUCCUGGUGUAGCGGUGAAAUGCGCAGAUAUCAGGAGGAACACCGGUGGCGAAGGCGGUUCUCUGGGCAUUACCUGACGCUGAGGAGCGAAAGUGUGGGGAGCGAACAGG